rnacentral:rRNA from 1 species
GAUGAACGCUGGCGGCGUGCCUAAUACAUGCAAGUCGAGCGAACAGACGAGGAGCUUGCUCCUCUGACGUUAGCGGCGGACGGGUGAGUAACACGUGGAUAACCUACCUAUAAGACUGGGAUAACUUCGGGAAACCGGAGCUAAUACCGGAUAAUAUAUUGAACCGCAUGGUUCAAUAGUGAAAGACGGUUUUGCUGUCACUUAUAGAUGGAUCCGCGCCGCAUUAGCUAGUUGGUAAGGUAACGGCUUACCAAGGCAACGAUGCGUAGCCGACCUGAGAGGGUGAUCUGCCACACUGGAACUGAGACACGGUCCAGACUCCUACGGGAGGCAGCAGUAGGGAAUCUUCCGCAAUGGGCGAAAGCCUGACGGAGCAACGCCGCGUGAGUGAUGAAGGUCUUCGGAUCGUAAAACUCUGUUAUUAGGGAAGAACAAAUGUGUAAGUAACUAUGCACGUCUUGACGGUACCUAAUCAGAAAGCCACGGCUAACCACGUG